UAUACCUCUUCUGGGGCUGCACAAAGAAGGUAAAACCAGUGAUAGAUGUGUUCAGGGUCCAAAAUCUGGCAUACGCGAGAUCGUAUUUGGUAAUUUCUACAACCUCACCUGAAUAGCAGGACACAUCUCAUAUUUAUUCUCUAGUGCUACAUGUAUUCUCCAAUAGUCUAGCUUUUUAUUUAAUAUAUAGUGAAAAAUGGGUAAUGGCAACUAGUAGUUUAAAUUUUAUUGUUCGUUCUUGUUUUUUUAAUUUUAACUUCAUGGAGUGAACUAUGACCCACUGAAUUAUGUUAUGUUCUAUCUACCUUGUUUAGUGUUCUAGAAGUUUUAGUCUAAUACACUGUCACCCUGCUUUUUCUUUGUCUUGUGGUGUGUUCACAUUUUUUUUUCUUAUAGUUGUGGUUAACUUAUUUUUCAUUAAAAUUCUGUUCGAUUUCAUCUGCUUUUACUUAUUUCUGGAAACGUUAACAUGUAUCCAGUCACCACUGCUCUUCUAAUUUGCUUUGUCAUGCAUUUGAUUUUUGAAAAAUAAAACAUUAAUGCAUGGUUCUGAUAUCUCAGGUUAGGUUGUGGAUGUUGGACUUGCAGUUAGAAAAUUCAAGAAAGGCGAAGAAGUUGUAGCCAUGCUUGGAACAACGACUAGAGGUGGAUUAGUUGAGUAUGCAGUAGCAAAGCAAGAAGUGAUGGUUCUAAGGCCACUUGAACUAUCAGCUGGUGAAUGUGCCGCAUUAGGCACUCGAGGGUUAACCGCUUACCAAUGCCUCAUCACAGCGGGAGUAGUCCUUUGAAAAGACACCCACCUAUGAACAUACUAACUGCUGCAGCUUGAGGUGGUGUUGGUCACUAUGCAGUUCUGGUCGCAAAGCUAGGGAACAUUUAUGUCACUAUAACAUGUGGCUCUUGCACCAUUGAUUUUGUGAAGAAGACCUAAAGGAUGAGUUGGAUUUGUUAGGUAGUUUAGUUUGGUUGGAUUUUUUUUGAACUUUGGUUUGUAUGAAUGAUUAGUUAAUUUUGCUGUUGAUAUAGUAAACUUUUGAAUAGUUGUUUAA